AUGGCUCAGGAUGAACGCUAGCGGCAGGCUUAACACAUGCAAGUCGAGGGGCAGCGAGAUCAGUGCUUGCACUGAUUGUCGGCGACCGGCGCACGGGUGCGUAACGCGUAUGCAACCUACCCAUUACAGGGGGAUAACACUGAGAAAUCGGUACUAAUACCCCAUAACAUCCAGGGAGGCAUCUUCUUGGGUUGAAAACUCCGGUGGUAAUGGAUGGGCAUGCGUUGUAUUAGUUAGUUGGUGGGGUAACGGCUCACCAAGACAACGAUACAUAGGGGGACUGAGAGGUUAACCCCCCACAUUGGUACUGAGACACGGACCAAACUCCUACGGGAGGCAGCAGUGAGGAAUAUUGGUCAAUGGACGCAAGUCUGAACCAGCCAUGCCGCGUGCAGGAAGACGGCUCUAUGAGUUGUAAACUGCUUUUGUACGAGGGUAAACUCGGAUACGUGUAUCCGUUUGAAAGUAUCGUACGAAUAAGGAUCGGCUAACUCCGUGCCAGCAGCCGCGGUAAUACGGAGGAUUCAAGCGUUAUCCGGAUUUAUUGGGUUUAAAGGGUGCGUAGGCGGUCGGAUAAGUUAGAGGUGAAAUCCCGGGGCUCAACUUCGGAAUUGCCUCUGAUACUGUUCGGCUAGAGAGUAGUUGCGGUAGGCGGAAUGUAUGGUGUAGCGGUGAAAUGCUUAGAGAUCAUACAGAACACCGAUUGCGAAGGCAGCUUACCAAGCUACUUCUGACGUUGAGGCACGAAAGCGUGGGGAGCAAACAGGAUUAGAUACCCUGGUAGUCCACGCAGUAAACGAUGAUAACUCGUUGUCGGCGAUACAUUGUCGGUGACUAAGCGAAAGCGAUAAGUUAUCCACCUGGGGAGUACGUUCGCAAGAAUGAAACUCAAAGGAAUUGACGGGGGCCCGCACAAGCGGAGGAACAUGUGGUUUAAUUCGAUGAUACGCGAGGAACCUUACCCGGGCUUGAAAGUUAGUGACGGAUCUUGAAAGAGGUCUUCCCUUCGGGGCACGAAACUAGGUGCUGCAUGGUUGUCGUCAGCUCGUGCCGUGAGGUGUCGGGUUAAGUCCCAUAACGAGCGCAACCCCUACCGUUAGUUGCCAGCAGGUCAAGCUGGGCACUCUGACGGGACUGCCGGUGUAAGCCGAGAGGAAGGUGGGGAUGACGUCAAAUCAGCACGGCCCUUACGUCCGGGGCUACACACGUGUUACAAUGGCAGGUACAGAGGGCAGCUACCCAGCGAUGGGAUGCGAAUCUCGAAAGCCUGUCUCAGUUCGGAUUGGAGGCUGAAACCCGCCUCCAUGAAGUUGGAUUCGCUAGUAAUCGCGCAUCAGCCAUGGCGCGGUGAAUACGUUCCCGGGCCUUGUACACACCGCCCGUCAAGCCAUGGAAGCUGGGGGUGCCUGAAGUUCGUGACCGGAAGGAGCGACCUAGGGCAAAACUCGGUGACUGGGGCUAAGUCGUAACAAGGU
rnacentral:rRNA from 1 species